GUUAUUCUAUGGUUAAUUAAUAGUUAAUAACAGUUAUUGCAAUUAUAAUUUCAAUUUUUUAUGAAAAUCUUAUAAUUAUGAAUGCAUAAAUGGUAGGCUGAUAACAAGGUGAUGAAGAGAGACUAAAUAAAGGAGGAGGUGGUAAGACUUUGGUGCCAAUCACAGUGGGCCACCACAGCAACACUAGAAAGCAUAAUCAUUUCAUUAUUUUGUGCUAUUUCAGUGUUCUUUUCUUGUCAGUUGCAAUGUCUAAAAGCCUGGACUAGCUUCACUAUGUCCUUUGUGAACAAGCCUGCUAAAAAGGAACAACAGUUUACAAAGUGAACCUAGUCAGUCUCUUGCUGAAUCAGUUGAUGAUCAUGAGUCUCAGUCUACUCUUGUGGUUGAUACAGCUACAGUUUUUACAGCUACAGUUGAUGUACAGUCAAUUGUUGCUCAUUCUCCAUCACCCUAUUCUUCUACUUCCUCUACUAAUACUACUACUAGUACUAUUACCACUACAGAAGUCAGUGUUGGAGCUACACCACCCACUACUUUAUUACAAUAACCUUCGCUACCAAAAAAUUGCGCUAAAAAGGGUGCGUAAAAAGGGUGUGGCCAAAAUCGCGGCGCGCUUCGCGCGCCCAACCCAUUUCCUGUGCCACACCCAUGCCCAACUAGUAGUCAAAUCCUGCAGCCGCCUAUGUAUACAGGUUAGAGUUAGAAUCUAUGAAGUAUGAGUUUGUUACAAGAGCUAAAGUGUACCAAAAAUAGUUGAUUUUGUUGUACCUAUAACUGAUUGCAACAUAGCUUUACAGAGACAAAAAACUUGCUGUAGGUAGCUCUAAAAAUUAUAUGUGCAAUAGGCUAAAGAUCAUAAGCAAGCGUUGUCCUGGAGCAACACAAAUUUCUUUCAAAAUCCUUCCAGAGCAACUUCACCAUUUUCAUUU